rnacentral:rRNA from 1 species
GGCUUUUUGAUUAUAAUUUAAAGUCGAACCUGCCCAAUGAAGUUUUAAAUGGCCGCGGUAUUUUGACCGUGCAAAGGUAGCAUAAUCAUUAGUUUUUUAAUUGAAAGCUUGUAUGAAGGGUUUGAUGAGAAAAUUUCUGUCUCUAAUUAAUUUUAAUAGAAUUUUAUUUUUAAGUUAAAAAGCUUAAAUAUUUAUAAAAGACGAGAAGACCCUAUAGAGUUUUAUAAAAAUUUUUUUUAACUGUAUAUUAAGAAUUUGUUUACUAGUAAAAAAAAUUUUAUUUUGUUGGGGUGAUAGAAAAACUAAAAGAACUUUUUUUUUAUUAAAUCAUUUAUAUGUGAAUUUUUGAUCCAUUAUUUUGAUGAUUAGAAAAAUAAAUUACCUUAGGGAUAACAGCGUUAUUUUUUUUUAGAGUUCUAAUCAAAAAAAAAGAUUGCGACCUCGAUGUUGGAUUAAAAUUUAAAAUUGGUGUAGAGGCUAAUUUUUUAAGUCUGUUCGACUUUUAAAAUUUUACAUGAUCUGAGUUUAAACCGGUGUAAG